rnacentral:rRNA from 1 species
AACGAACGCUGGCGGCAUGCCUAACACAUGCAAGUCGAACGAGAUCUUCGGGUCUAGUGGCGCACGGGUGCGUAACGCGUGGGAAUCUGCCCUUUGGUUCGGAAUAACAGUUGGAAACGACUGCUAAUACCGGAUGAUGACGAAAGUCCAAAGAUUUAUCGCCAGAGGAUGAGCCCGCGUAGGAUUAGCUAGUUGGUGUGGUAAAGGCGCACCAAGGCGACGAUCCUUAGCUGGUCUGAGAGGAUGAUCAGCCACACUGGGUCUGAGACACGGCCCAGACUCCUACGGGAGGCAGCAGUGGGGAAUAUUGGACAAUGGGCGAAAGCCUGAUCCAGCAAUGCCGCGUGAGUGAUGAAGGCCUUAGGGUUGUAAAGCUCUUUUACCCGGGAUGAUAAUGGCAGUACCGGGAGAAUAAGCUCCGGCUAACUCCGUGCCAGCAGCCGCCGUAA